UGAAUGUCAUUAUGACAGACUGUAUUUAAACUCACCUGUAGAGGACAAAAAUGGAAACUAGCAGUAGAACUGCAUUAAGUAAUUACGCUGAUGCUGACGCUGACAAUUAAUGAUUAAAAUGCAAUAAUACGUUUACAUGCUUUUGCGCAUUUGUAAGAUACAGAGCCCCUAAGUGGAAAUGGUGAUGGGAGGAAACAUUAUAUUUUCGAGUGACGAUAAAGUUUCUAGGGGGACUGCAUAAGUUUGAUGAAUGAAUGCAAAGUUUCUUGGGGAACACAAAAUGUUUGACAAGUGGACAUAAACGGAUUUCAAUUCUCUCUCACUAUCUCUCUCUCUCUUUCUUAUGAAUUAUGAAACCAAAGCAAGAUGGGUUUGCAAUACCUAUAGGCUUCUGCCACUAUCCUACAAUAUUUUAUAGUCCUGCAGUCCUGUAGAAAUAGUUUAGCAAGCUCUUUUAGCAAGCAUGCUUUGCUAAUUUAAUAAUAAACUAUUU